GUUUGAUCCUGGCUCAGAUUGAACGCUGGCGGCAUGCCUUACACAUGCAAGUCGAACGGCAGCGGACCUUCGGGGUGCCGGCGAGUGGCGAACGGGUGAGUAAUGCAUCGGAACGUGCCAUUGAGUGGGGGAUAACGUAGCGAAAGUUACGCUAAUACCGCAUAUUCUGUGAGCAGGAAAGCAGGGGACCGCAAGGCCUUGCGCUCUUUGAGCGGCCGAUGUCAGAUUAGCUAGUUGGUGAGGUAAAGGCUUACCAAGGCGACGAUCUGUAGCGGGUCUGAGAGGAUGAUCCGCCACACUGGAACUGAGACACGGUCCAGACUCCUACGGGAGGCAGCAGUGGGGAAUUUUGGACAAUGGGCGCAAGCCUGAUCCAGCCAUGCCGCGUGAGUGAAGAAGGCCUUCGGGUUGUAAAGCUCUUUCGGCCGGGAAGAAAUCGCAUGGGUUAAUACCCUGUGUGGAUGACGGUACCGGAAUAAGAAGCACCGGCUAACUACGUG
rnacentral:rRNA from 1 species